CAGUCGCCGCGGGAAUACGUAGGGUGCGAGCGUUAAUCGGAAUUACUGGGCGUAAAGGGCGCGUAGGCGGUUUGACAAGUUUGGUGUGAAAUCUAUGGGCUCAACCCAUAGCCUGCAUCGAAAACUGUCGGGCUUGAGUAUGGGAGAGGUGAGUGGAAUUUCCGGUGUAGCGGUGAAAUGCGUAGAUAUCGGAGGGAGCACCUGUGGCGAAAGCGGCUCACUGGACAAUAACUGACGCUGAUGCACGAAAGCUAGGGGAGCAAACAGGAUUAGAUACCCCGGUAGUCCCUGUCUCUUAUAA
rnacentral:rRNA from 1 species